GAGCCAAAUGGUUUCUCUGUCUCUUUGAGAUUCAUUCCUUACACAGUCCUGUGUGUGACCUGACUGUCAAAAUCCUUUACAGCCCAGAAGUCACUGAGAGCAUCAAAAGCCCUUGCAUAACCUCUCCCCUGUGGUUUCCAACAGUGUGUUUGAGAAAUGAUUUGAUUUCUUUGUUCUGUAACUAAUAAAAUCUCCUGUGACCACUUGGAGCAACCCCAGUCUGUGUUGCAGGACCACAGGCACUCACGGGCUCAGGAGUCACUGUCUCUUUUCCCCCUCGAGUCGAGAGCUUUGCUUUGCACUAACACUUUAUAUAGGUGGUGGGUCUUACAUUCAUCCAUGGCCUAUAUGUGAUGAAAUCCCACAGGUGGGAACAGCUUUCAGGAGCCAGGACAGGAUGCCCGGAGCCCUGACAGGAUGACAGUGGCCACUUCAUGCCAGGGUGUCCCAGCCUGGCCCGCUUCUCUGCUGCUCGGUUUUUAUGGUUGUGUGUGACAGCAGGAUCUCUAAGUUCCCAGCCUUAGACUGAAUGUGGAAGCUGCAAAAAUAAUUUGGUAGAAGCAAAAGGCUUUUGAAC
rnacentral:lncRNA from 1 species